AUUGAACGCUGGCGGCGGGCUUAACACAUGCAAGUCGAACGAGUGGCGGACGUGUGCGUAAUGCUUGUGAAUCUGGCUUAUGGAGGGGAAUAACUACGGGACCCUGUAGCUAAUCCCGCGUACCAUAGGUUGAGACCAAGUGGGCUUAGGUAGUGGGUGAGGUAAAGGCUCACCAAGCCGACGAUCUCUAGCUGGUCUGAGAGGAUGACCAGCCACACUGGGACGGAGACACGGCCCAGACUCCUACGGGAGGCAGCAGUGGGGAAUCUUCCGCAAUGGACGAAAGUCUGACGGAGCAACGCCGCGUGAGUGAGGACGGCCUUCGGGUUGUAAAGCUCUGUUAAUCGGGAGACGGUACCGGAAUAGAAAGCCACGGCUAACUACGUGCCAGCAGCCGCGGUAAUAC
rnacentral:rRNA from 1 species